GGAAACUUGGAAACUACCAUUGGAUCGAGAAAUGGACGUCCGAGAUUCGUUUACGUCAUCAUGAGUUAAAAUUUAACUCCGAGUGAAUCUCGGAGUUAAAUUUUAGACGAAUCUCGGACGUCCAUUUCUCGAUCCAACGGUAGUUUCCAAGUUUCC
rnacentral:pre_miRNA from 1 species